GUCUGUGGCCAUACCAUCCUGAAUACACCUGAUCUCAUCUGAUCUUGGAAGCUAAGCAGGGUUGGGCAUGGUUAGUACUUGGAUGGGAAUAAGUGUUUUCUCUGCUUCAGUAU
rnacentral:rRNA from 1 species